rnacentral:rRNA from 1 species
UACAGAGGGGGCAAGCGUUGUUCGGAAUUACUGGGCGUAAAGGCGCGUAGGCGGCCCUUCUAAGUCGAACGUGAAAUCCCCGGGCUCAACCCGGGAACUGCGUCCGAGACUGGAAGGCUCGAAUCCGGGAGAGGGAUGUGGAAUUCCGAGGUGUAGCGGUGAAAUGCGUAGAUAUCUGGAGGAACACCGGUGGCGAAGGCGGCAUCCUGGGACCGGCAUUGACGCUGAGGAGCGAAAGCCAGGGGAGCAAAGCGGG